UAUAACUUUUCUCUGAAGAGUUGUGUAGCGUGCCCCUUGAGUCCUUCUGCCUGAUGGAAUUUUAUUUUCUACGGAGAAAAUUAUGAAGGGGCAUGUGAGGCUUGGGACAUGGUGUUUGUGAUGGUGCCUCCUCUCUAUCUAUUAAUAGGACUCCCAUCCAAGAGUCCAAGGUGUCAAAGUCUAAGCAAAUCUUCUUCCUUCUCUUGUUAAGACAAGGUCUUUCUUUGAAGAGAAGUCUGUCAUUUUAAGACAAAAGCUUAGGAAGAAAAUUAGCAAGGACUGAU
rnacentral:lncRNA from 1 species